rnacentral:rRNA from 1 species
UACGGAGGGUGCGAGCGUUGUCCGGAAUCAUUGGGCGUAAAGGGCGCGUAGGUGGCCCGGUCAGCGUGCGGUGAAAGCUCGGGGCUCAACCCCGAGUCGGCCGUGCGAACUGCUGGGCUGGAGCACUGUAGAGGCAGGCGGAAUUCCGGGUGUAGCGGUGGAAUGCGUAGAGAUCCGGAAGAACACCAGUGGCGAAGGCGGCCUUCUGGACCAAUACUGACGCUCAUGCACGAAAGCGUGGGGAGCAAACAGG